rnacentral:tRNA from 1 species
CUUCCCUUGGUGUAGUUGGUUCAUCACGUUCGACUGUAAAUCGAAAGGUCUCUAGUUCGAUUCUGGAAGGGAAGA